rnacentral:rRNA from 1 species
CACCGCGGUUAUACGAGAGGCCCAAGUUGACAGAUACCGGCGUAAAAUGUGGUUACAGCGUAUCAGACUAAAGCUAAACAUCUUCCGAGCUGUUAUACCCAUAUGAAGACAGGAGACCCCUUUACGAAAGUAGCUUUAAAAAUGCUAAUCCACGAAAGCUAGAAAA